CAGCUGAGAUCAGACUCCAGUGGAUCGGAGUGCAGAUCCGCAGCUGACAUUCGCCACACAAGACACACCGUUCGGAUAACACAUCAGAUUCGACCGAACACCGUUUAUGGUUUUAACUGAAGAUUUCACAAUGUCUCGCGCCGACGAGGUCCACCGCAUCACGGAGAAUGCCUAUAAGACCAUCAUGGAGCAGUUCAACCCCUGUUUGCGGAACUUCAUCGCCAUGGGGAAGAACUACGAGAAGGCUCUCUCCAGUGUGACGUUUGCAGCCAAAGGUUAUUUUGACGCGCUGGUGAGAAUGGGCGAGCUGGCCAGUGAAAGUCAGGGAUCGAAGGAUUUGGGGGACGUGCUCUUUCAGAUGGCAGAGGUCCACCGGCAAAUUCAAGUGCAGUUAGAGGAAAUGCUGAAAUGCUUCCACAAUGAGUUGCUGUCAGAACUGGAGAAGAAGGUGGAUUUGGACGCCAGAUACUUGACUGCGGCUCUUAAGAAGUACCAGAUUGAACACAAAAGCAAAGGAGAGAGUCUGGAGAAGUGCCAGGGGGAGCUGAAGAAACUGCGGAGGAAGAGCCAGGGCAGCAAAAACCCCUCCAAGUACGGAGAGAAGGAGUUGCAGUACGUUGAGACCAUCAGCAGUAAACAAACCGAGCUGGAUUCCUUCAUUGCAGAGGGCUACAAAACUGCGCUUUCAGAGGAGCGCAGGAGAUACUGUUUCCUAGUGGACCGUCAGUGUGCCGUGGCCAAGAACAGCAGCGCUUACCAUGGAAAGGGUAAAGAUUUGCUAACCCAGAAGAUCCCAGUAUGGCAGCAAGCCUGUUCAGACCCCAACAAGCUGCCUGAGAGGGCCAUGCUGAUCACCCAACAGAUGACGUCUGGUUCCAGCACUCUCCUCUCCAGCCCUAUGCACUCCUCCAAGGGCAACCUGGUCAUCUCAGAUCCCAUCCCUGGAGCACAACCCCUGCCUGUGCCACCUGAACUUGCUGCCUUCAUGGGAAGUGGCCUGGGCCACCAGGGGCGGCUAAUGGGUCCUGAGGGCAUGUCUCUGGUGAACGGGACGACGGGGGUCCACGGGGAAGAGUACUGGACAGACGAAAGAGGCGCUCAGGGAAGACCGCCAUCCCCACAGAGUCAGUCUCAAACCCCAAACCAGCCUCAGAGACAGGUCAGCGACGUUUACUCCAACACCCUGCCUGUCCGCCGACCUCAGCCGGCUAAAAACAAGACCGCUGUGGGAGAGACAAGGACUCUGCCCCGGUCGAGUUCUAUGGCAGCGGGACUGGAGAAGAACGGACGCUCUCUUGUCCAGGCCAUUUUUUCCCACACUGCUGGAGACAACACCACCCUGCUCAGCUUCACUGAGGGAGACCUCAUCACCCUGCUGGUGCCCGAGGCAAGAGACGGCUGGCACUAUGGAGAGAAUGAGAAGACCAAGAUGCGUGGCUGGUUUCCUUUUUCGUACACUCGAGUGCUGCCCGACAGCGACAGUGAGAAGUUAAGAGUGAAUCUUCAUCAUGGGAAAAGCAGCAGCACAGGGAACCUGCUGGAAAGAGAGGACAUGUCUUUGCCAAUGCCUGACUAUGGUCUGACCGCCCGACUUUUGGCACAGAGCCUUACACAGACUCGGCCACGCCCCUACAGCAUGGCUGGCUUUGCACAGCCAGCGCUAGAGGAUUAUGACAAUCCCUUUGCCACAAGUUCCGAUGGCAAAUUGAUUUCGACAGUGUGAAAACAGACAGACUAUCAGACACAGAUACAGCUCCGGAUAGCACAGGGGCCACGCCCCUACUUCCCUUAGCCCCUCCCCCCUGUUAAGCUCUGCCUCCACACACUCCUCCUCCAAUGGAAGGGGCCAGUCUCAUCCCUCCUUUCUGUCCUCUCUUCCUCCCUGCGUCUUGCCGGGGCGAUAGUGCCGGUCGCGUGUGGUGGGUCGGGGGGGAGCUCUGAGAGGAUCGACCGGAACGCAGUCCAACUGCUCGCAUCGCCGCUUUACGGACUGUGAUUCGCCUGUAGUGACGCCGCUAUGACAUCGCUGUGGACUCCAAAGAGACUGCUUACCACUUCCUGUCUUUCAUGCAUGAGCACAAGUUUUGCUAUGUGGUUGUUUUUUUUAAAUGACAUCCUCAUGUAAAAGUGCCGAAAAGAAAAGCUCAUUUGGUAUUUUGGAGCAGCUCUCCUAAUGACGAUGCUCUCGCUGUUCUUUUUUCCAAGCAGAUGUUAUGGGAGCCUCAUGCGAAAUGAGGAGUGUUCUUUUUUUUAUUAUUUGUGGUUGAGUUGUGCAGAGUGUAUUCUCUCUCUGUGUUUUUGAAGAGCAUUUGCGUUUUGUGAUUCCCUCAUGUAUUACCUGGUGCUCCUCUGAUCCAGAGCCUGUGUCACAUUGUGCCAAAAUUAAAGCAGAUUAGGUUUUCCUAUUCACAGACAGGAUUGGAAUGAUAUGAAGGAAAAUCUAAAUUCUCCCAAGUGCCAAACAGUGGACCUACAUACCAGCGUGAAGGUUGCAUGAGCUUCAAAAUACUUGGGUGGGACCGCGCUGUUCUCAGAGACCAGCACGCGUCCGCUCGCCCUGCAUGCAUGAAAGAAAAGUGCUCUGAGCAUAAACUCAAUCUAUCCCACCACACCCCAAAAAUCCCAUUAUCUUAUUUCAGACAUAUAGAACUACAGGGUCCGAAUUUUGUUGAACUGAAUAUAUCCCGAAAAAUAGGCAAGUGUGUAAUUUUUUUGGAGGAUCUAUUGACAGAAAUGCAAUACGUAAUUACGUAAUGAAGCGUAGUUUUUAUUUCCUCAGAAUGAGCUUUUUCUAUCUACAUACAUCGAGGGGCCCCUUACAUGGGAUUCCUCAUGUUGUUUCUACAGUAGCCCGAAACGGACAAACUGCUCUACAGACCAGAGCCAUGGAGAAAGAGAGAGUUGCGCCACUGAAAGUUCAACAUUUUCGCGUGUCACGUGAUUCAAGAAGCCUUUAGAUGGUUCCAGCAAGUUAUGUUUUCCAUUUAAAGGCGCAGUCUUUAAUUUACUCGGCCACUUGCGCUGUAUUAUAGAUUUGCAAUGAAUCGCUCAGUCCAAACAUGACGGUGGCCACCGUAGUACAAAAAGAUGUCGUUCUCAUGUUGACACAGGAAGAGAUCCUGCAGGCAUUAGAAAGACUGUAAAACCGCGAUGUCUUAUUUAUUACAUAAAAUAAAAGGUUUGUGGAUUUUAAGUAUAAAAAGAAGGAUAAAAGUCAGGCAGGAGCUAAUAUUAUAAAGACUUUCCAGCAGAGACGCGUUAGGACAGGCGGUACUAAGAUCCAUCUUAAAACCCCGUAUUUUUCAUUUAAUUUAUUUAUUUCCUUGAUUUUUUUUAUUCAUUAAAUGACUUUUUUGAGUUUACCUCAGUUGGUCUGUUUAGCUGCAGCUCCAUGUGUUACUAGUAACUUCCGGGAACUAUUGAGAGCCUCCAUGAACCGACAGUGCUGUGAAAAAACUGUUCCAUUGGAGUCAAUGGAGUUGAUGCGACUCUCUCCCUCAAUGGCUCUACUACAGAGCGUGUUGCGUAAAUACGUUAUCUCCUUUGGCAAAGAAACAUAAACGUGACGACAUCUCCUUGCCGGUCAGCCGCUAUAGUGCUUCGAAUGGAGGGGUGGAGUGAGCCAUUGUUUGCUAUUCACAACUUCACCACUAGAUGACACCAAAAUGUCAACAUUCAAAUCGCAUUUCCAGCAAAAUUAGACCAGACAGCUUUAAUAUCAAUAUCACAAGUUUACCAUGGUGAGUGUGGCAUAUUUAUAAGUAUUUACUCAAUAGCGAAUAUUUGCUUAUUUUUAACUAAAAAAGUUAUGCCGUUUUUGCUCAAAUUUAGAUCUGCCAAAUGUAAUUCGCAAAUGCAAACUAUAUACACAUUUACAGAAUAAAAUGAAUACGCAAAUGUAAUUUACAAAAGACAGCUUUGCUUUACAAAAAAACAAUUUAUUUUAUUUAUAUUUUACCUAAAAAUAUGUCCUAUUAAGUUUUACAAAAUAUAAGUGAUACAUUCUCAAAAUCUGGCUUACGAAUGUGAAAAGGAUCAUUCUUAUCUUUGUCAUACACUGUCUUAAAUCAUUCCAAUAAGAUGUGUUAAGUCAGGGUACUCCACACAACAUUUGUGAAUCCUAUUUUUUGUGAAUAUUCAUUCCGAUGCAAUUCCGACCCUGAUAUGAAAGUGCCACCAGCCCUUGUCUCUAAAGCAUUCCCCUGUUGUACAGGAUGUUAGGAUGUUGACUGACAGAUCCUCUGGAGAUGUGGUGUAGUCCCCGCUGUGUUGUUGUUCUUUUCAGUUUCUUUUCCUUGGAAAAUAGACAAACUAGGAAAACUGCACAAGAAAUAAGUGUAACGCUCACAAUAUGCAUGCCGAGGAGGAACAUAGUGAACAUUUGACCUUGAAUGUAUGGUGACUUUUUACGGAACGAAUAAAUAAAAAUAUCUAUAUAUUAAUAAAACAAUUGUUCAAAUGAGCCUUUGAUGAUUUUCACUUUGUCAUUUUGAAUUUUGAACUCUUUCCACUGUGGGAAACGAACUGUAAAACCCAUCUACUCCCAUACGAUCCAGAAGAGCAGACACUUGAUUGUUUUUGCAUCGUGUCCUUGUGUCUGUUUGAAGACGUGACCUGUCCGUGUGUUUUUGUGCCGUGUGCUUGCCUGCUAGCAUUAACCUUCUAACUUCUCUUUCUGUGUUCUUACAGCGGAGAACUGAUCUGACAUAUAUAUACUCUAUAUUUAAGAUGUAUAAGAAAUCGAUAUUAUAGAUGCAUUCAUGAUUAGAUGUGACUAGAUUUUGUUCUUUUUUUUAAACACACUUUGCUUUCUGAAUUGGCCUGUUUGUUUAACAACGACACUGCUAUGGGCAGACUCUUCAUUUUGCACUAUAUUUUGAACCCAUGUCAUCUCUUGAAGCGUGUUGUUUACUCAUCUAUUAACAUGAGACUUGUGACGUCAUCCAUCCGAAUCAGUGAGCAGUUCAAAAACACCAUGUCACAGAGCGAGUAACCAACAGCCAUCUAACGCAACACUAACAGUCGUGUGAAUGCGGUGGAAAUGUAGCCAUGCAUAGCCUCAGUCCGAGCUGAGCUGUCAGGUACAAACCCCUGGACUUUCUUUACCUUCCAGUUUGGGUCCUGAAUUGUCCCGGUUCUGAGUGUUGCAGGACCUCCUGAUCGUUCCUUGGAGGUCUACUUCAGGCCAAGCCUCAUGGACGACCGAUCUGCUCCUCUCUACUACUAGAGGAGCUUGUGCUGUGGCCUGUGCACUAUGCCGCCCUCUUCUGUUCUGUUUGUGUCGUUGCAACAACAUGUGGCAGCAGAGCACGUGUACUUGCCUACAGGGGGGCAAGCGCCGAGGAUAGACCGUAAACUUUGUAAUGAUCUUAACUGUGUAGCUUUAUAAGUAUUGAUGUAGUGAUGAAUUGCAAAACAAAACAUUUGUUCUCGAUGGUUGUUUAUGUUAAAGUUCACCCAAAAACAAACAUUCUGUCAUUUAUUCACCCUCUAUGACUUACUUUCUUCCGCAGAAGAUAUUUUGAAGAAAGCUGGUAACCGAACAGCACCGAAGCACACGCACUUCUGUUGUAUGGACAAAAAAACAAUGCAAAGUCAAUGGGUGCCGGAAAACAAAAAAAUGUUGAAUCUUUUUCUGUGUUCUGCGGAAGAAAGUCAUACAGGUUUGAAAUGACAAGAGUGUGAGUUAAUGACGACACGUUCUUGGGUGAACUGUCACUUUAACAAACGUGGCACAGUGCCGACUAAUCAAAAGUGAUCAGUACUUUUUUGGGGGAGAGGAUCAAGAUCAAGAGUUUGUAUAUUUGAGAUUGUGAAUGUAAAAAUAUAACAAGUAAUUAUGAUUUCCAUAAAUUGCAGUUCUAGAUCUUAGGUAAGGAUUUCUUUUUCUCUGUUUUGAAAUAUUUGUGUGACAGUUCGUCUGUGUAUCAUCACUUGUUCGUGAAAGCUGUUCUCGAGGGUGCUGGGAUGAAACUUCUUUCGAGCAGUUGCGAUAUUGCGGUCGCUUCAUAAUAAACAGACCACUAUGUUUUCUUAAUGCAGCUUUAGUGAUGCAAAUUCUCGGGUAAGAGAGAUCUGUCAAGUAUAUUAGUCGCAAUAUAUAGUGCAAUUUUACAUGCAAGCAAUGCUGACACAGGGAUUGUGCCUUUAACAGCUGUUUGUAUUAUGUAUUAUGUUUGUAUUAUGCUCUUUGCAAAAAAAAAGAAAUAUGUGACUCCAUUGGUAUAUAUUAGGGAUUUUUUUUCUUUGUAAUUUUGUGUUAUUCAAUCUGUUUUGUACUUUUUGUUUGUUUGUUUCGAAAUUUUUCAAUGACUGUUCUAGAUAAGAGGGUUUGUUUGUUUUUCUUUGCUAGCUGCUUUUGCUAACAAGAUGUGUUGAGAAUUUUAAUCUUUAUCAUCAUACAAUACUGCUUAUUCAGUGUAUUAAAAUAGGCUUACUGCACAAACAUGAAAAUAUAAAUCACAGAUUAUGUAAAUAUAUGUUUUUGUUUGUUUCUGAGGGACCGAGAGUAGUCCUUGUAAAUAUAAUCUCUUAGUUCAUCUGUUUUCUUGCCACAGGGGGAAAUCUAAAGACACUAAUAUGAAUGGCUUGUUUUUAUAUUAGGGAAUCUAAUGUGGUGUGUGAGAAAGAUUGGGUACCUUGAAUGAUUCUUAAAUGGAUAGAGUUUUUUUCUGCCAGCUUUAAAACUUAUUUUAAAAUGCUUUUUGUUUUCAUUUUGCGAUUCUGUUCAUUCUUAUUUAUGGAGAAAUGCAAAUGUUUGUGCCCAUUCUUGUAGGAAAUAAAAAAGCAAUAAAAAAGGUUUCUAGCACCAUUUCAUAUUAUAUAGAA